GGCAAAUGCCAAAAAGAAACAAAAUAACAAUAAUAAAAUGUUUAUUAUUGUAUCCGCCUCCUAGGCAAAAAAGUAUAGUAUAAAGUGUUUUGUGUGUGUUACACAUUACACAAAAAAUUCCUUAUUUAUAUAAAAUUUGUAAAAAUUGAAAUUGUGUGGACAUAUUAUAUCAAAUUAAUUUGUAUACAAAAUGUCUAAAAAUUUGAAAUACAUAAAAUUAUAGUUGUACUUGUAUAAAAUUGAAAAGUAAUUUUAUAUAAGUCAAUCAUUGUUCUUUUUUUAAGAACUUGAGACAUUCGCAACAAAAAUUUUAUGUUUUAAUUAUAAAAGAGAAUAAUAAUAAGCAAAAAUUAUUGAAGGAAUUGAUAUAUGCCAAUUUGAAAAUUUUUGGUGUAUUUUUGAUUUCUUUCAAUAAAUAUAUAUAUGANGUGCUAUUGAAAAUAAAAAUUAUAUCACUCUAAGCGGUGGAUCACUUGGCUCAUGGGUCGA
rnacentral:rRNA from 1 species